UCAUGUCAGCCGGCCCACUGCACUCUCCAACACAUCCUGACGCUACCUGAUCUGUUUGAAAUCAAGAGAAAUACACUGAGAGACUGAGAGCUCUCAGUCAUAAAGUACUACCCCCAAGCCCAAAGCAGUUGUGAAAUUACCAAGGUGUUAUGCCCGUAUUAUUUCUUCAGGGAAUUACAGGUUCUGAAAUUAGUACAGGAAUAUAAAACUUGUAUGUAGCAUUUCUAUUCACAAUAUCAAAAAGGCAACAUUUCCAGAUGGAAAUAAAAUAGAAAGGUUGUCAAUCCAGCAAAGAAACAACAUAGAUUGUUGAACAACAUUCAUUACACACAAAAUGCAAACAUUGAAAGUAGUCCUAAAUUUACGGGGUACUUAGAGCUCUUUCGUCCGAAAGCUAAAUGCCAAAUAUUAAGUAUGAGACCAAAACCCUUACUCCACUCACAGGUUUAUGUAAUAUCCACUGACAUAAAUAGAGUUUCAAAGCAUAACAACAAAGUCCUCAUAGACUGAACUAAAUAUAAAAUAAUUACAGUUGUCUCAACAGCAAGAGAACAUAUAAAUCAAAUUCAUGUUAAGUCCAGGUCAUGCCCUUGAACUUCAACCGAGGCAUGUCUCGUAAAGUAAUGCAAGCAUUAAGCUAUAGCCAUUAAGCUAUAGGCAUUAAGCUAUAUGCCCUGUAGUCAAAAACCUUGUGCACUGACCAAAUAUAAUUUCAUGAUGUGCAUCACAUGCCUGUAGGCUUCCUGUCCGAAAACGGACAUGCGUGAGUUUCCAGAGUUGCCAAUUAGGUUUAAGGCUACUCAAGGAACCAAACAGAACACACAAGCAAAGAUUACUAGUUCGUCACAACUACAGAUUACUCGGCUCAGGAGAUAAGUCACAAAACAGAAAGGUGUUAGACACCCCAUUCGACCGAAGCCUCGGUUAGUCUCUACUAGUCACUUAAGGGAUUUAAUUGCAUCAAUUAUUAACUCUAAUCAAAACGGAGGUGCAAAAGCAAAACAGUAAUCAAAGUAUCAAAUAAUGAACAAACGUGAACGAAAUCGAUAACAAACUCAAGGUUCUGGGCUUU